UUGUAAGAUGUUGUAAGUCGUUACUGAAAGUGCCUUUACUCUUAUGUUUUAGUUGCAUGCAGGAGAAUGUGUAUUUGCAAAUGCUGUGUGUGUGUGUGUGUGUGAUUGUGUGUGUGUGUGUGUGUGUG